UAAAUAUGAAAGAAAUAAAAGCAUAAAUAUUAAUUUCUCAUUUAUUCAAUAUUGUCCUUUGUUUUGUCGUUCUUCACUAGCUAAAACCUAAAAGUAAAGUGUUUAUUAUUCAAAUAUUUGAAAAUGAAGUAAACAAUGCAAUUAUUUCGCUUGUAUCGGUUGAAUGUAACCAAGCAAGGCAUCGAACGUUGAGCUCUCCAUCCAAAUCGGAAACAAGAAAAAAGAAAAAAAAAAAGCGAGAAAAAUAGAAUUAAUUUGAAAUAUAAAAUAUUGCUUAUGCAAUGAAAAAUAGCGUUUCGAAUUAAAUGAUUUGUAAUUGCUUUGUAGACUUUUAUUCGCUUAAAAAAAAGUUUACGUAUAAAUAAUUCAAUAAUUUUUAACAGCACGUGUAAACGCACUCGGAAUAUAAAAGGAUCCAAAGGAUAACGAUGAAAGGUUCGAAGUGUUGUUGAACAAAAAAAUGCCAGAUGACUUUGCGUUGUCAUUAAAAUGAAAUAACAUUUAUUGAAUCGAGACAGUGACACCUAACAGUGGUUUUCUAUAUCCUACUACUUACAAUCUUAAAGAUAAUAAGAAAAACUGCGUGACCACUUCCGCCCUCGGUCCGUCGAAGAUUCACAAGGAUCGUUCGUGAUGUGAAUCGAAGACAUUCAUCUUCAUCUUCACGUUUUUUCAAUAACAUCACUGAAAUGGAACUUGCCUUUAAACGUGCAAUUUAUUAAAACAACAAACAAAAUAGAGAUAAAAAUUUACGCGGCAACGAACCCAACAUCAAAUUCCAUUUCUGUGUGUAUUAUAAAUAUUUUCACGACUUUCCAUAAAAAUCGUCGAUUGUUCUUCUAUACAACGUACAUGUCAACGUAUUAUUUUUCACCAAGCAUAUUUUUCAUCUUAGCGAGGAAGGAUAAAAUUCGGCCAAAAAAAAAAAAAAAAUAACUAACUAAAACUAAAAAACUAAAACUCGACGAAGCCACCAUUUUUGUAAUAAAUCUUUUGGCGCCCUCUGUAAUCUUACAGAAAUUCCUUUCGAAAUUCAAUUUCAUUUCGUUUCUAUAUUUCUAUCGAGGUACGAUAUUCUUCCAAUGAAAUAAAAAAAAAAAAAGAAAAUCCAAUAAAAAAACUACUUCACAGACACGAUUCAAAUUCAAAAUUAACGAAAAAAAAAAAAAAAUACUCGAAUAAAAUAAAUUCAAAGAGAGAAAUACAUACAUUUCGAAACGUCUGUUCGAAAAUUCGAGAGGAGUAAAAAAAAAG